UACGUAGGGGGCAAGCGUUGUCCGGAAUCAUUGGGCGUAAAGAGCGUGUAGGCGGCCCGGUAAGUCCGCUGUGAAAGUCCAGGGCUCAACCCUGGGAUGCCGGUGGAUACUGUCGGGCUCGAGUCCGGAAGAGGAGUGUGGAAUUCCUGGUGUAGCGGUGAAAUGCGCAGAUAUCAGGAGGAACACCAAUGGCGAAGGCAGCACUCUGGGUCAAAACUGACGCUCAUGCACGAAAGCGUGGGGAGCAAACAGG
rnacentral:rRNA from 1 species